AGUGGGGAAUAUUUCACAAUGGGCGAAAGCCUGAUGCAGCGACGCCGCGUGAGGGAUGACGGCCUUCGGGUUGUAAACCUCUUUCAKCAGGGACGAAGCGCAAGGUGACGGUACCUGCAGAAGAAGCACCGGCUAAMUACGUGCCANCAGCCGCGGUAAUACGUAGGGGUGCAAGCGUUKUCCGGAAUUACUGGGCGUAAAGAGUUCGUAGGCGGUUUGUCGCGUCGUUUGUGAAAACCASUCAGCUCAACUGCUGGCUUGCAGGCGAUACGGGCAGACUUGAGUACUGCAGGGGAGACUGGAAUUCCUGGUGUAGCGGUGAAAUGCGCAGAUAUCARGAGGAACACCGGUGGCGAAGGCGGGUCUCUGGKCAGUAACUGACGCUGAGGAACSAAAGCGUGGGUAGCGAACAGGAUUAGAUACCCUGGUAUGUCCACGCCNUAWACGGUGGGCGCUAGGUGUGGUGUUCCUUCCACGGAAUUCCGUGCCGUAGCUAAACGCAUUWAGCGCCCCGCCUGGGGAGUACGGCCGCAAGGCUAAAACUC
rnacentral:rRNA from 1 species